rnacentral:rRNA from 1 species
UACGUAGGGGGCAAGCGUUGUCCGGAAUGACUGGGCGUAAAGGGUGCGUAGGCGGUUUGGUAAGUUAGAAGUGUAAUACCCAGGGCUCAACCCGGGUGCUGCUUCUAAAACUGCCAGACUUGAGUGCAGGAGAGGAAAGUGGAAUUCCUAGUGUAGCGGUGGAAUGCGUAGAUAUUAGGAGGAACAUCGGUGGCGAAGGCGACUUUCUGGACUGUAACUGACGCUGAGGCACGAAAGUGUGGGGAGCAAACAGG